GACGAACGCUGGCGGCGUGCUUAACACAUGCAAGUCGAACAGUAAGGCCCUUCGGGGUACACGAGUGGCGAACGGGUGAGUAACACGUGGGUGAUCUGCCCUACACUUCGGGAUAAGCCUGGGAAACUGGGUCUAAUACCGGAUAGGACCACUGCCUGCAUGGGUGGUGGUGGAAAGCUUUUGCGGUGUGGGAUGGGCCCGCGGCCUAUCAGCUUGUUGGUGGGGUGAUGGCCUACCAAGGCGACGACGGGUAGCCGGCCUGAGAGGGUGACCGGCCACACUGGGACUGAGAUACGGCCCAGACUCCUACGGGAGGCAGCAGUGGGGAAUAUUGCACAAUGGGCGCAAGCCUGAUGCAGCGACGCCGCGUGAGGGAUGACGGCCUUCGGGUUGUAAACCUCUUUCAGCACCGACGAAGCGCAAGUGACGGUAGGUGCAGAAGAAGGACCGGCCAACUACGUGCCAGCCGCCGCGGUAA
rnacentral:rRNA from 1 species